GGACUACAGGGGUAUCUAAUCCCGUUCGCUCCCCUGGCUUUCGCGCCUCAGCGUCAGAAAUGAUCCAGCAUGCCGCCUUCGCCACCGGAGUUCCUGUAGAUAUCAACGCAUUUCACCGCUCCACCUACAGUUCCGCAUGCCCCUAUCAUCCUCGAGACCUCCAGUAUCCGAGGCAGUUCUCCAGUUAAGCUGGAGGAUUUCACCCCGGACUUGGUGGCCCGCCUACGCGCCCUUUAAGCCCAGUGAUUCCGAACAACGUUCGGACGGUUCGUCUUACCGCGGCUGCUGGCAC
rnacentral:misc_RNA from 1 species